AUCCAGCUGACGAGUCCCAAAUAGGACUACACCCGCGUCCUGGAU
rnacentral:hammerhead_ribozyme from 1 species